rnacentral:rRNA from 1 species
UUGAUCAUGGCUCAGGAUGAACGCUAGCGGCAGGCUUAAUACAUGCAAGUCGAGGGGCAGCAGCUUUAUAGCAAUAUAGAGGCUGGCGACCGGCAAACGGGUGCGGAACACGUACACAACCUUCCUUUAAGUGGGGGAUAGCCCAUAGAAAUGUGGAUUAAUACCCCGUAAUAUUAUUGAAGUGGCAUCACUUUAUAAUUAUAGUUUCGACGCUUGAAGAUGGGUGUGCGGCUGAUUAGGUAGUUGGCGGGGUAAAGGCCCACCAAGCCUUCGAUCAGUAGCUGAUGUGAGAGCAUGAUCAGCCACACGGGCACUGAGACACGGGCCCGACUCCUACGGGAGGCAGCAGUAAGGAAUAUUGGUCAAUGGACGCAAGUCUGAACCAGCCAUGCCGCGUGAAGGGAUGAAGGUCCUCUGGAUUGUAAACUUCUUUUAUAGGGGGCGAAAAAAGGGAAUUCUUUCUCACUUGACAGUACCCUAUGAAUAAGCACCGGCUAACUCCGUGCCAGCAGCCGCGGUAAUACGGAGGGUGCAAGCGUUUAUCCGGAUUCACUGGGGUUUAAAGGGUGCGUAGGCCG